CGUUUGACUUAUAAAAAUGGUGGAAACAUAGAUUAAGUUAUUAAGGGCGCACGGUGGAUGCCUUGGCACUAGAAGCCGAUGAAGGACGUUACUAACGACGAUAUGCUUUGGGGAGCUGUAAGUAAGCUUUGAUCCAGAGAUUUCCGAAUGGGGAAACCCAGCAUGAGUUAUGUCAUGUUAUCGAUAUGUGAAUACAUAGCAUAUCAGAAGGCACACCCGGAGAACUGAAACAUCUUAGUACCCGGAGGAAGAGAAAGAAAAUUCGAUUCCCUUAGUAGCGGCGAGCGAAACGGGAAGAGCCCAAACCAACAAGCUUGCUUGUUGGGGUUGUAGGACACUCUAUACGGAGUUACAAAGGACGACAUUAGACGAAUCAUCUGGAAAGAUGAAUCAAAGAAGGUAAUAAUCCUGUAGUCGAAAAUGUUGUCUCUCUUGAGUGGAUCCUGAGUACGACGGAGCACGUGAAAUUCCGUCGGAAUCUGGGAGGACCAUCUCCUAAGGCUAAAUACUCUCUAGUGACCGAUAGUGAACCAGUACCGUGAGGGAAAGGUGAAAAGCACCCCGGAAGGGGAGUGAAAUAGAACCUGAAACCGUGUGCUUACAAGUAGUCAGAGCCCGUUAAUGGGUGAUGGCGUGCCUUUUGUAGAAUGAACCGGCGAGUUACGAUUUGAUGCAAGGUUAAGCAGUAAAUGUGGAGCCGUAGCGAAAGCGAGUCUGAAUAGGGCGUUUAGUAUUUGGUCGUAGACCCGAAACCAGGUGAUCUACCCUUGGUCAGGUUGAAGUUCAGGUAACACUGAAUGGAGGACCGAACCGACUUACGUUGAAAAGUGAGCGGAUGAACUGAGGGUAGCGGAGAAAUUCCAAUCGAACCUGGAGAUAGCUGGUUCUCUCCGAAAUAGCUUUAGGGCUAGCCUCAAGUGAUGAUUAUUGGAGGUAGAGCACUGUUUGGACGAGGGGCCCCUCUCGGGUUACCGAAUUCAGACAAACUCCGAAUGCCAAUUAAUUUAACUUGGGAGUCAGAACAUGGGUGAUAAGGUCCGUGUUCGAAAGGGAAACAGCCCAGACCACCAGCUAAGGUCCCAAAAUAUAUGUUAAGUGGAAAAGGAUGUGGCGUUGCCCAGACAACUAGGAUGUUGGCUUAGAAGCAGCCAUCAUUUAAAGAGUGCGUAAUAGCUCACUAGUCGAGUGACACUGCGCCGAAAAUGUACCGGGGCUAAACAUAUUACCGAAGCUGUGGAUUGUCCUUUGGACAAUGGUAGGAGAGCGUUCUAAGGGCGUUGAAGCAUGAUCGUAAGGACAUGUGGAGCGCUUAGAAGUGAGAAUGCCGGUGUGAGUAGCGAAAGACGGGUGAGAAUCCCGUCCACCGAUUGACUAAGGUUUCCAGAGGAAGGCUCGUCCGCUCUGGGUUAGUCGGGUCCUAAGCUGAGGCCGACAGGCGUAGGCGAUGGAUAACAGGUUGAUAUUCCUGUACCACCUAUAAUCGUUUUAAUCGAUGGGGGGACGCAGUAGGAUAGGCGAAGCGUGCGAUUGGAUUGCACGUCUAAGCAGUAAGGCUGAGUAUUAGGCAAAUCCGGUACUCGUUAAGGCUGAGCUGUGAUGGGGAGAAGACAUUGWGUCUUCGAGUCGUUGAUUUCACACUGCCGAGAAAAGCCUCUAGAUAGAAAAUAGGUGCCCGUACCGCAAACCGACACAGGUAGUCAAGAUGAGAAUUCUAAGGUGAGCGAGCGAACUCUCGUUAAGGAACUCGGCAAAAUGACCCCGUAACUUCGGGAGAAGGGGUGCUCUUUAGGGUUAACGCCCAGAAGAGCCGCAGUGAAUAGGCCCAAGCGACUGUUUAUCAAAAACACAGGUCUCUGCUAAACCGUAAGGUGAUGUAUAGGGGCUGACGCCUGCCCGGUGCUGGAAGGUUAAGAGGAGUGGUUAGCUUCUGCGAAGCUACGAAUCGAAGCCCCAGUAAACGGCGGCCGUAACUAUAACGGUCCUAAGGUAGCGAAAUUCCUUGUCGGGUAAGUUCCGACCCGCACGAAAGGCGUAACGAUUUGGGCACUGUCUCAACGAGAGACUCGGUGAAAUCAUAGUACCUGUGAAGAUGCAGGUUACCCGCGACAGGACGGAAAGACCCCGUGGAGCUUUACUGUAGCCUGAUAUUGAAAUUCGGCACAGCUUGUACAGGAUAGGUAGGAGCCUUUGAAACGUGAGCGCUAGCUUACGUGGAGGCGCUGGUGGGAUACUACCCUAGCUGUGUUGGCUUUCUAACCCGCACCACUUAUCGUGGUGGGAGACAGUGUCAGGCGGGCAGUUUGACUGGGGCGGUCGCCUCCUAAAAGGUAACGGAGGCGCUCAAAGGUUCCCUCAGAAUGGUUGGAAAUCAUUCAUAGAGUGUAAAGGCAUAAGGGAGCUUGACUGCGAGACCUACAAGUCGAGCAGGGUCGAAAGACGGACUUAGUGAUCCGGUGGUUCCGCAUGGAAGGGCCAUCGCUCAACGGAUAAAAGCUACCCCGGGGAUAACAGGCUUAUCUCCCCCAAGAGUUCACAUCGACGGGGAGGUUUGGCACCUCGAUGUCGGCUCAUCGCAUCCUGGGGCUGUAGUCGGUCCCAAGGGUUGGGCUGUUCGCCCAUUAAAGCGGUACGCGAGCUGGGUUCAGAACGUCGUGAGACAGUUCGGUCCCUAUCCGUCGUGGGCGUAGGAAAUUUGAGAGGAGCUGUCCUUAGUACGAGAGGACCGGGAUGGACAUACCUCUGGUGUACCAGUUGUCGUGCCAACGGCAUAGCUGGGUAGCUAUGUGUGGACGGGAUAAGUGCUGAAAGCAUCUAAGCAUGAAGCCCCCCUCAAGAUGAGAUUUCCCAACUUCGGUUAUAAGAUCCCUCAAAGAUGAUGAGGUUAAUAGGUUCGAGGUGGAAGCAUGGUGACAUGUGGAGCUGACGAAUACUAAUCGAUCGAAGACUUAAUCAA
rnacentral:rRNA from 1 species